rnacentral:rRNA from 1 species
GAUCCUGGCUCAGAUUGAACGCUGGCGGCAUGCUUUACACAUGCAAGUCGAACGGCAGCGCGGGCUUCGGCCUGGCGGCGAGUGGCGAACGGGUGAGUAAUGCAUCGGAACGUGCCCAGUAGUGGGGGAUAGCCCGGCGAAAGCCGGAUUAAUACCGCAUACGACCUGAGGGUGAAAGCGGGGGACCGAAAGGCCUCGCGCUAUUGGAGCGGCCGAUGUCGGAUUAGCUAGUUGGUGGGGUAAAGGCUU